rnacentral:rRNA from 1 species
UACGGGGGGGGCAAGCGUUGUUCGGAUUCAUUGGGCGUAAAGGGUGCGUAGGUGGCGGGGUAAGUCAGGUGUGAAAUUUCGGAGCUUAACUCCGAAACUGCAUUUGAUACUGCCUUGCUUGAGGACUGGAGAGGAGACUGGAAUUCACGGUGUAGCAGUGAAAUGCGUAGAGAUCGUGAGGAAGACCAGUGGCGAAGGCGGGUCUCUGGACAGUUCCUGACGCUGAGGCACGAAGGCCAGGGGAGCAAACGGG